rnacentral:rRNA from 1 species
AACGAACGCUGGCGGCAUGCCUAACACAUGCCAGUCGAACGAGACCUUCGGGUCUAGUGGCGCACGGGUGCGUAACGCGUGGGAAUCUGCCCUUGGGUUCGGAAUAACAGUUGGAAACGACUGCUAACACCGGAUGAUGACGUAAGUCCAAAGAUUUAUCGCCCAGGGAUGAGCCCGCGUAGGAUUAGCUAGUUGGUGGGGUAAAGGCCUACCAAGGCGACGAUCCUUAGCUGGUCUGAGAGGAUGAUCAGCCACACUGGGACUGAGACACGGCCCAGACUCCUACGGGAGGCAGCAGUGGGGAAUAUUGGACAAUGGGCGAAAGCCUGAUCCAGCAAUGCCGCGUGAGUGAUGAAGGCCUUAGGGUUGUAAAACUCUUUUACCCGGGAUGAUAAUGACAGUACCGGGAGAAUAAGCCCCGGCUAACUCCGUG